GAUGAAGAACGUAGCGAAAUGCGAUACGUAAUGUGAAUUGCAGAAUUCAGUGAAUCAUCGAAUCUUUGAACGCACAUUGCGCUCUCUGGUAUUCCGGAGAGCAUGCUUGUUUGAGUAUCAGUAAACACCUCAACUCCUUUAUUGUAGUUGGACUUGAGCUAUCCCAACAGGACUUUUUGUUCCUGGCGGGAGGCUUGAAAUGCAGGUGCAGCUGGACUUUCUUCUGAGCUAUAAGCAUAUUUAUUUAAUCCCUUAACACGGAUUAUUACUUUUUUGCUGCAGCUAACAUAAAGGUUGAAUUUCCAUUGAGCUGACUGAUGCAGGAAUUUGGCAAGGAAUUCUUUUAAUGACUUGUUAAACUCGAUCUCAAAUCAAGUAAGACUACCCGCUGAACUUAAGCAUAUCAAUAAGCGGAGGA
rnacentral:misc_RNA from 1 species